rnacentral:lncRNA from 1 species
GUCACAGUACCACACAGUUGUAAGGGUCACAGUCCCCCACAGCAGUGAAGGUCGCAGCACCACACAGUUGUAAGGGUCACAGUCCCCCACAGCAGUGAAGGUCACAGCCCCCCACAGUUGUAAGGGUCACAGCCCCCCACAGCAGUGAAGGUCACAGUACCACACAGUUGUAAGGGUCACAGUCCCCCACAGCAGUGAAGGUCACAGUACCACACAGUUGUAAGGGUCACAGCCCCCCACAGCAGUGAAGGCCGCAGCCCCUCACAGCACCCCACCUUCUCAUACACAUCCUUUGCUCUCCUCAUUUGGGAAAGGCCCAAGUUGGAACCAGCUGGUUAGAACUCAGAUUUGCCUUAACUUCUUACUCUGACCAGAAGCAAAGGGCCUGAUGUUCCCUCUGAACAUGUUCCCAUGGCAACUUAGAAAACCACACUUAGCCACAAAAUUCACAAAUCCCUGGAGAUCCUGAAAACUCACUAAGAGAUUAAAUGGUUGCUAUUUCAUUGAAACUCCACUCUCUUGCUGUGACUACUUACCACAAUGGUCCCUCAGCCCCAGGUAGCCAAGGACUGGGGUGAUGGAGUUUAGAGCCUCAUAAUACAUGCUGUAAACUCUUCCUCUAAGGCCAUUUUGCAAAGAGCAAGUCAUUUAUGACAUCUGUUUUAACCUUGCAUUCAGUUCUAGUGAGCACGGGUCUAGUUUCUAAUGGUAAGGAUGGUGCCAGGUGCCAGGUAGAGCAAGAGGUGGCAAAGACCAAAAACUACAAGGCUCAAAAGCCAUCAGGUGACAAGGGGCAUCUUGGUGAAGGGGCAAGUACAUGUGUUUUAAUAAGCCCAAAGGCAAGACGGCUUCAGAUUCCUCCCUCCUGGACAUCCACAGAGAUACAGGGACGUGGAAACCUCCAAACAGUGUCAGCCUACUGUCUUUAAUAAGGCAAAGAGGCAUAGUGCUUUAGGGUUGUUUCCAUCCUCAGAGGCUCCACAUCAAAAUGUCUGUGUAAGUCUUGGUGCUUGGGACAUCGCUC